GGGGGCGACAUGGUCUCGACGGGGGUGGAUGAAACGUUGGUUGCGUGCCGAGGACUCCGGUGGCCUCGUAAAAAACCGGAACCCAAUUAACUGCGAACGAUCAACACGAUUUCGCAAUGGCUGCUUAAUUGCCGCCUCGUCUUACCCUUGACCACCUGCUAAGGGGCUAAGACGCACGACAGCGGGUCUCGCGUCGGAACGUCGGUGGAACGUCCGAUAGAGUAGGUUUCCCCCUAGCGGCCCUGGAUAGCGAGCCUCACGCGAUCCCGGGUGGCGAAUCUUAAAAGACGGGCUAUGCACGUAGACGCCUUCGUGGACACACUUUCGGACGCGGGUUCGAUUCCCGCCGCCUCCACCA
rnacentral:tmRNA from 1 species